rnacentral:rRNA from 1 species
CCUACGGGAGGCAGCAGUGGGGAAUUUUGGACAAUGGGCGCAAGCCUGAUCCAGCAAUGCCGCGUGCAGGAUGAAGGCCUUCGGGUUGUAAACUGCUUUUGUACGGAACGAAACGGCCCUUUCUAAUACAAGGGGCUAAUGACGGUACCGUAAGAAUAAGCACCGGCUAACUACGUGCCAGCAGCCGCGGUAAUACGUAGGGUGCGAGCGUUAAUCGGAAUUACUGGGCGUAAAGCGUGCGCAGGCGGUUAUAUAAGACAGAUGUGAAAUCCCCGGGCUCAACCUGGGACCUGCAUUUGUGACUGUAUAGCUAGAGUACGGUAGAGGGGGAUGGAAUUCCGCGUGUAGCAGUGAAAUGCGUAGAUAUGCGGAGGAACACCGAUGGCGAAGGCAAUCCCCUGGACCUGUACUGACGCUCAUGCACGAAAGCGUGGGGAGCAAACAGGAUUAGAUACCCUGGUAGUCCACGCCCUAAACGAUGUCAACUGGUUGUUGGGUCUUCACUGACUCAGUAACGAAGCUAACGCGUGAAGUUGACCGCCUGGGGAGUACGGCCGCAAGGUUGAAACUCAAAGGAUUGACGGCUGNGAGNGCGAGACGACGACGAGGGAGGAGG